GUGGGGAAUAUUGGACAAUGGGCGAAAGCCUGAUCCAGCCAUGCCGCGUGUGUGAAGAAGGUCUUCGGAUUGUAAAGCACUUUAAGUUGGGAGGAAGGGCAGUAAGUUAAUACCUUGCUGUUUUGACGUUACCGACAGAAUAAGCACCGGCUAACUUCGUGCCAGCAGCCGCGGUAAUACGAAGGGUGCAAGCGUUAAUCGGAAUGACUGGGCGUAAAGCGCGCGUAGGUGGUUUUGUAAGUUGGAGGUGAAAACCCCGGGCUCAACCUGGGAACUGCCUCCAAAACUGCAUGACUAGAGUACGGUAGAGGGUAGUGGAAUUUCCUGUGUAGCGGUGAAAUGCGUAGAUAUAGGAAGGAACACCAGUGGCGAAGGCGACUACCUGGACUGAUACUGACACUGAGGUGCGAAAGCGUGGGGAGCAAACAGGAUUAGAAACCCGAGUAGUCC
rnacentral:rRNA from 1 species